GCUAGUAAUCGCAGGUCAGCAUACUGCCGUGAAUACGUUCCCGGGCCUUGUACACACCGCCCGUCACACCAUGGGAGUCAGAAAUGCCCGAAGUCAGUGACCCAACCGAGAGGAGGGAGCUGCCGAAGGUGGAGCUGGUAACUGGGGUGAAGUCGUAACAAGGUAAC
rnacentral:rRNA from 1 species